GCGCGGUAGCUUAGUUGGCUAGAGCGAUCGGUUCAUACCCGGUAGGUCGUGGGUUCGAGUCCCACCCGCG
rnacentral:tRNA from 1 species